rnacentral:rRNA from 1 species
GUAGUUAGCCGGGGCUUCCUCCUUGGCUACCGUCACUUUCUUCGUCACCAAGGACAGAGGUUUACAACCCGAAAGCCUUCUUCCCUCACGCGGCGUUGCUGGGUCAGGCUUGCGCCCAUUGCCCAAUAUUCCCCACUGCUGCCUCCCGUAGGAGUCUGGACCGUGUCUCAGUUCCAGUGUGGCCGAUCAGCCUCUCAGCUCGGCUACCCAUCGUUGGCUAGGUGGGCCGUUACCCCGCCUACUACCUAAUGGGACGCGAACCCCUCCCUCAGCGGAUUGCUCCUUUGACCUCAUCCCGAUGCCGGGUCGUGGUCUUAUGCGGUAUUAGCACUUGUUUCCAGGUGUUAUCCCCCUCUGAAGGUCAGGUUGUUCACGCGUUACUCACCCGUUCGCCACUAAAAUUUAUCUUCCAUCCGAAAACUUCUGAUAAAUCUCCGUUCGACUUGCAUGUGUUAGGCACGCCGCCAGCGUUCGUCCUGAGCCAUAAUCAAACUCUGA